ensembl:antisense Gm44293 predicted gene, 44293
AGGAGCCUCCCCUAUCCACGGUGGAAUGUUGAAGGGACCAAUCUGACACCAGUUCUUUACAACAUAUGAUUUUACUUUAAAUUAAUUUAACCCUUAGUUAAAUCAUUUAAGUUCUUUGGCUUUCAGCCCCACCGAAUCUUCACCUUGGACUAUAGGCUUGGUUGCCUGAGGCACAUUUGGAUGCAUUGGAGUCAUUUCUGUUACUCAUUGUGCCUCUGACUGGAUGAGGGAUGCGAAGGAGGUGAAGUUUGGUGUCCUCCGUGGCUCAUGUGCUUGAACAUUCGUGCCCAGUAGGUGGCGCUGUUUUUCGAAGGUUAAGAAAUCCUUAGAAGGAUUCAGGUCGGGCCUUGGGCCUCUAUUUCCUACAGGAGCUUUCUGUUUCCUGAUCUGUGAAGAUGUGAACAAGCCGCAUGACAAGCUGGAGAGGCGAUCCUCUGUUACAGAAAAGAGCCAGCUGAGCAAGGUGUGGGGAACAAGGCAGUUUCUCAGGUCUCCGCUUCAGUUUCUGCCUCCAGAUCCCUUCCUUGGCUUUCCUCAGCGAUCAGGUCAUGGACCCGCCUCUUUCUCCACAACUUCUGGGAAAGUCUUUGCAGCUCAACUUUGAAUCUCACCUCCUUCAGAAGCGUUGACAGGCCCUGCAAGAUCAGACGAGAGCUCCUAGCUCCUGCUUCAGCACCAUGCUUGCCUGUCUGGUGCCAUGCUCCCUGCCAUGAUGGUCAUGAACUUACCACUGGAAUGGUUGUUCCUGUCAUGGAUUUUUAUCAUAGUGUUGAGAGGAGCGACUCUCAUGAGCUAACACAAUGACAUCACAUUGGGUUGCUUACAGUUUGGAGGUUUUAUUUCUCACAGCUCUGAAGACUACGUCAAGUUGUCAAUGGACUCAUCAUGACCUCAGAGUAAGAAAGUGAGUCAACUUGGGCUACUGUGGCUAGAUCUCCCGUCAGUCCAUCCUUCCAGUUCUGUGGCUGCCUUGUGGACAGUGCUGCAUUAUAAAUCUGCCUGUCUGUCAGCGCUCUAAGGAGGAUCUAGCUGUGCAUCCCAGCCUGGCUCUGAUAUCACCAUCUCCUUGCCUGCACCUUCUGAGUGCUGGGAUCACAAGUACUUGUUGCUGCACCUGACUUGCCAUCUUGGUCCCUUGAUCAAACCUGGAAGGAGACCUGUCGAGAUGGAGAGAACUGCCUUGGUGGUAAGGUUAGACCCACUGGCUGCUGCCCCAUUGACUGUGUAUGAGGAAGGAGGCGACAGAAUGUGUGGUUAACCAAAGUCUGGACAAUAAAAGCAUCCCUGGGGGCUGGAGAGAUGGCUCAGUGGGUGAACUGCUUGUUGUGGCAAUUGUGAGAACAGAAGUUUGGAUACCCCCUCCCACACUUGAAGCACCCGGAUGGUAGGCUUGCUCCUUGUAUCCUGACAUGGUCUGGCACACCUAGGAGAAGGUACAAGGCUCACAAAUCCAAGGUUGUCUGCACUGUGACCAAGGCAACUUACAAAUAAAGUGUUUAAUUUUG